GAUGAAGAACGUAGCGAAAUGCGAUACUUGGUGUGAAUUGCAGAAUCCCGUGAACCAUCGAGUCUUUGAACGCAAGUUGCGCCCGAAGCCAUUAGGCCGAGGGCACGCCUGCCUGGGCGUCACACGUCGUUGCCCCCCCAUCUACUCCUUCGGGAUUGCGGGGGGCGGAUGAUGGCCUCCCGUGCGCCUCGCCGCGCGGUUGGCAUAAAUGCCAAGUCCUCGGCGACGCACGCCACGACAAUCGGUGGUUGCGAAACCUCGGUUGCCCGUCGUGUGCGGUCGUCGCGCAUCGAGGGCUCGAAAAAAUUGCCGGGCUCCGGCUCGGCUUUCAACGCGACCCCAGGUCAGGCGGGGUUACCUGCUGAAUUUAAGCAUAUCAAUAAGCGGAGGA
rnacentral:misc_RNA from 1 species